GUGACUAUGAUUCUCAUGAUAUUGAGCGUUAUACACGAGCAAAGUUCAUGGAUUACACAACGGACAAUAUGUCUAUUUAUCCAUCGCCUACUGGCGUUAUGAUUGGACUUGACCUUGCUUACAAUUUGCAUUCCGCCUUUGGAAACUGGUUUCCUGGUUCAAAACCAUUGCUUGCCCAAGCCAUGAACAAGAUUAUGAAGUCAAAUCCUGCGCUCUAUGUGCUGAGGGAACGCAUAAGGAAAGGGUUGCAACUGUAUUCUUCAGAGCCCACAGAACCAUAUUUAUCAUCUCAGAACUAUGGAGAGAUAUUCAGCAAUCAAAUCAUCUGGUUUGUUGAUGACACAAAUGUGUACCGUGUGACCAUCCACAAGACCUUCGAGGGAAAUCUGACAACAAAGCCCAUAAAUGGUGCAAUUUUCAUUUUCAAUCCCAGGACAGGUCAACUGUUUUUGAAGGUCAUUCACACAAGUGUGUGGGCAGGGCAAAAGCGUCUUGGCCAACUGGCGAAGUGGAAAACAGCCGAAGAAGUGGCUGCGCUUGUUAGGUCUUUGCCUGUUGAAGAACAACCAAAGCAAAUUAUUGUGACUCGGAAGGGAAUGCUUGAUCCAUUGGAGGUCCACUUGCUCGAUUUUCCAAAUAUUGUUAUCAAAGGAAGUGAGCUGCAAUUACCAUUCCAGGCUUGUUUGAAGAUAGAGAAAUUUGGUGAUCUGAUACUGAAGGCUACAGAGCCACAAAUGG
rnacentral:misc_RNA from 1 species